rnacentral:lncRNA from 1 species
UUCUUAGUCUGCUAAAUUCCAGGCAAACAUAAUCCUUUCAUGGUUUCAUAGUUUUUCUUGAUCAAUCCUAACCUUAGUCAAAUUAAUUUUUAUGGUGCUGGGGAUCAAACUACAUAAAUUAUUUUUUUUAAACAACAUUUUUAUCCCUUUAUUUAUAUGCAGGAUCGAACCCAGUGCCUCACACAUGUGCUCUGCCACUGAGCUACAACCGUAGCCUCAAAUACAUCAGUGCUUGAUCUCCACCUUCUCUUCUUGUUUACCCAUCUUGUUAUCCAUGGACUGACACAGCAUUUUGGUGUCCUAUGACUCCAGUAUGCUCAUGGCUGAAGUCUGCAAUCAGUGCUUUCUAUCAACUCAGUGGACCAGCUUCUUGCCGCUCACCAGCCUCCACCACCAACACGGGCUCCCAGCUCCUUCUUUUCCCCAAACUUAGAAGUGUUCAUUUUUGCUCCCUGUUUUUUCCAAGUCUCAUCCUUUGCUCUCUGCUGGGCAGAUCAGUUCAUAGCACCCUGGUAAAGCAGUGUUGUGAAGCUGAGAGGGAUCUGGGACAACAGCCAGGUCCCCCAGAAGCAGCAAGCUUUGUAGGGAAUGUGCUCUAGAAGUCACCAUUUCUGAAACUCGGCUGCUGCUGCACAUCUUGGAAGAGGAAUAUGUAGCCAAGCUCAAAGCAAAGGUAUUUGGAGAAUUGAAAUCUUGCAUGCCAGGAGACCUUGAUCCAUAACCUGAGAAGCAGAUCUGGAUCCAGUCAAAUUGAGGUCAAAUUCUGAUCAACUUCUCCACAGUCAGUAGAAGAAAAAAGCAACUUGAUGUCUGAGUCAUAUGUUUGGACACUAAAGAUGACAUUCAAGGGGAUACUUAAAUUCUAGGCAUAGUAAAUAUAUAGUAGAUAGGGGUUGUUGCUUAAGUCAGUGCUUCUCAAGCUUUUAGAUGCACACCAACCCCAGAGGGUGAAGAUGGGGACAUCUGAGUGUCUGCAUUUUUUUGGUACUAGGAUUUGAACCCAGGAGUGCUUAACCACUGAGCAAUAUCCCCAGCCCUUUUUAGUUUUUAUUCUGAGACAGGGUCUUGCUAAAUUGCUUAGGGCCUCACUAAGUUGCUGAGGCCAGUCUCGAACUUGCAACUCUACUGCCUCAGCCUCCCAAGUAGCUGGGAUUACAUGCCUUUAUCACCAUGCCCAGCAGGUGUCUGUGUUUCUAACUUGCUCCAUGCUGAUGCCUAUGGUUCACAGGUCAUAUGUUAAGUAGCAAGACCUUAGAAGAUAGGAUGCAGAUGACCCUCAACUGAUGCUAAAAGAAAUCUGAAAUAAAUUGGGGCUCAGUUGCA